UCUCUGCCUCCUGCACAGUGCAUUGUGGAUACUGGAGUGCUUCCUUCUCCAGAUACCCCUCAGACAAUCUCCACUGUGCUGAUUGUAUGGGCACGCAGCACAACAGAGUGGAAAAGCAAUUACUCAUGUGGGGGAUGAUGUAAGAAAGCACUAAUGUGCUUUGAAGAGGAACACCCCCUUCCUGGAGUAGCCAUGCUGAAACUCCUCUUAUGGAAGGAUGCAGAGUAUAGAAAUUUUGACUAUAAACAAACAGACACACAAAAAGGUGAUUCUGAACAGUCCAUUACAGUCUUCCAAACUGUCUAAAUCCUGAAAAUUGUUUUACGAGAACACAAGGCGAGCAUGCUAAACAAGUAAUGGAAUGAGACGUCUCUAACUGGAAUAAAUGCACCAAUUUCUGUCUCUCGUACUAUAAAAACACACAAGAAAGAUUGUGAGCUGCCCGGUGACAAAUCUAUUAGGGGAAGAAGAAGAAUCAACACUACAAGGUCACUCUGAGGCCAUGGAAUAGAGCGGGAUAUAAAUACACAAAAUUCACUUGGUU